rnacentral:rRNA from 1 species
AUGAAAAUGCCAAACUGUUUAAAGAAAAAGUUAAAAGAUGGCAUGACAAAAGAAUCCAAAAGCGGGAAUUCAAAGUUGGUGAACAUGUUCUUUUAUACAACUCUCGUUUUAGAUUCUUUGCAGGAAAACUUCCCUCUAAAUGGGAAGGACCAUAUAUUAUUGAGGAGGUUUACCGCUCUGGAGCUAUCAAGUAACCCGAAGGUGGUCAAUGGUCAAAGAAUCACACACUACAUCUCAGGUACGCCCAUUAAUGUUGAAAGCAAUAUUAUCCAAACCAUGACACCGGAGGAACACAUAAAAGAAACCUUCCGGAACACUCCAGAAUAA